UCUCCGUCGGCGAGAAUUCUCAGAGCACGUGAUUCGUGCGUAAGUUCUCCAAUUCCGUUUCCCAUUCAGCGUCGACGAUGCCGUGCCUUUCGGCCGUGGGGAGGUUCGGCCGUGGAUCGCUAGGUCCAGAUUUGGAGAUGAUACGGAGGGUGGGUUUUGAGCGCCCGCUUUCUUCCAAGUGAAUGGUUUCUCGAAAGGUUUUCUGUCAAAGUUUGGGCGGUUGGCACUCCGGUCAGUAUCAAUUCCUUAAUUUGAUCGAGUAGCAAAUAGUUCGUAGAGUGGAUUGUGUUGUUCUUCGUGGAUUAGGUGCUAUCUCUGAACAGUCAUGACGACGGGGAUUCAUCGACGAAAUAGUUAAUCUUCGCAUAUUUUGGAACAUUGCCCUACGAUCAUUGAGCUGGUCUUCUUACGGGACGUAGUGGCUGUGAGGCUGUUGGAGUGAUGGUGUGGGUAAAAGACCGGUUGCAGUCUUCAAAUUUACAGUAGUAAUCUAAUCUAUAGGAUUCCAUGUUCUAAAACUUGUAUUUUUCUUCUUCGUAGCUUGCUUGUGCCUUUAGUGUGAAUCGGAUAUAAUUGCUGAUAGAGUAAUUUUUGCCUUCCCCUGUUUUUGGUUACUCGGGAAUCUUUCUCUAAAUCAACAAGAAUUUGGAGGUUGCUCCAUUGAACUGGCCUUUGCGAUUUAAUGCAGCUUCAUUUCGUUCCUAGGUCCUAAGUUUCCAUUAACAAGGAUAUGCGAUAUCAACUCUCAUUGUAAAAGUUUUGAUAGAUGACUUCAGAGUUGAUUGCAAUCACAAUGAAGAUUGAUGAAUUGAUGGCAGGAUUAACAUAACAUCAUGGUAAUGGAAAAAUCAAGUUAUGAAGAAGGCAAACUCCUUUCAAACAUAUCUCUGACCUUCCAGGCAAUGACUUGUUGUCAAGGUUGCAACAUCGGGUCAUAUUCCGCCAAUUUACAUUCACGUUGAUAACUAUGUGAAAUAGUAGGAUCUUGCUGAUUGCUGGGAGGCCUACAGUUUGCAAUCUCUUUCCAAGUAAAGAAAUUAAAAAAAAAAAGGCAAGAUGAUUCUUACAAAUGAGGAAGCCCGCUUGAAAAUUUUGAGAAGCUGAGAGUCGGAAUUGCAUGUACAUCUUUCGAGCUUGCGAUGCCCCGACUGAAAUGGAUUUGUUCAGGUUAAUUAUUUUUCAUGGUGUGUGACUGCCAUCAUCAAAUUGUUCAACGCCGACCUGCACGCAAUUGCUGAUUUCGAGUCAUUUUCUGCACGAACAAUCUGUGGUCUGCACCAAAUGUCUCUUACAAUCAUGGGCAUGAAGUCUCUGCUUCUGCGUGAUUCAGUUAAGGUCAUAGUAAACAAAGGAGGUGUGUGUAUACCUUUCAACUUCAAUGAGGACUUCCCAAGCAGAGGACUGGUGUUUACCUGAGGCCCCUCAGAUGUCACUACUCUACGAGGGGCAGCUAGCUCAUCAAAGCAGAUACUAUGAAGAAUCUGCAGUUGGGUUCCCAUCAGCACACCAUGCAGUCAAUUGUCAAGUCGCUGUGGACGACGACAGCAGCUCUCCCCGUACGUGACAUCCAAGAAGCUGCAGGCAGUAGGGUUUAUAGGCACCUCUCUCUCUCUCUCUCUCUGGUCACCAAGAUUUGGUGAGAUCGAGCCCUCACACCAAAGGUAAAAGCUGGGAGGUGUAUUGUAGCCUUGAGUAGGCCGCCAACAGAUUCUCUCCACACCCGGCCGGAGAUUGAGACGACUGCUGGGCAGCUACAGCUGGUGGCUGUCACUCUGUCAAUCUGGUGCAUGUCGAUAAGUCGCCCUUUGAUCUCCUCUUAGCUUCUCAAGUGCAACAACUGCA